AUCGCUUCUCGGCCUUUUGGCUAAGAUCAAGUGUAGUAUUUAUUUAUUGUAAAGAAUUGGCUGAGGUGAUUAUGGAAGCUGAGAAAUCCA
rnacentral:snRNA from 1 species